rnacentral:rRNA from 1 species
UCGGUGGACAGGUGGUGCAUGGUUGUCGUCAGCUCGUGUCGUGAGAUGUUGGUUAAGUCCGCACGAGCGCAACCCCUACUUGUUAGUUGCCAUCAUUCAGUUGGGCACUCUAGCGAGACUGCCGGUAAUAAACCGGAGGAAGGUGGGGAUGACGUCAAAUCAUCAUGCCCCUUAUGACCUGGGCUACACACGUGCUACAAUGGUUGGUACAACGAGUUGCGAGUCGGUGACGGCGAGCUAAUCUCUUAAAGCCAAUCUCAGUUCGGAUUGUAGGCUGCAACUCGCCUACAUGAAGUCGGAAUCGCUAGUAAUCGCGGAUCAGCACGCCGCGGUGAAUACGUUCCCGGGCCUU